ensembl:lncRNA
GUCAUGAAGAAAUAAAAGCUUAAAAUCCUUUCUCCUGCUAUUUGUAAAAUUCAUACUCUAGAAAGAGGUAGAUUGUUUUUCCUAGGGCUUUGAGUAUCCCUGACACUCUGCCCAUCCUCUAUGGGUACAGAUACUGCAGUUUGGGAAGUGCCAAUGGAAGAAGCAGAAAGAGUUGGAGGAGACAAGGAGGUCCACCUGAAGACCUCUUAAAAGAGGAGAAGAGAACUUAUUCUUUCCCCAGCACUAGACAGAAUGUCAGACAUCUGGAUGAGUGUGGCUUCAGGCAGAACAAAGUUACUCGGGUGAAGAGACUCAGGAGAUUAACACAAAUGGAGGGAUGGGAUCCAAUAAAGCUAUAGGCUUAGCUCUCCUGAAGGCAUGCAGAAACUGGGAGGCAAAGGCCAGCAGAAAGGUGGGCCAAAGUGACACACAGUCAUUUCCUCCCCUCUCCUGUCCCUGCUAUUCUAGGUGGUGUGUGCAGGAACUGAUGAAGUGGCUAUAAUAUCGCUUGUGAUUGUUGGGAAGCCUAAGAUUUAUGAGAGUCCACACUGAAGAGGUGAACCAGGUUGGAUCCAAGCUUGAUACAAAGAAAGUAAAACACAGCAAGUUGCUCACUGUGCCCAAGGAUGUCCUCUCUAUCCCAGGCUGGCUGGGCCACCCCCCCCCCCCAUCUGUAAUGCUUGCUUCUCAGCAAGGGCUUGUCCUGGAGCUAGGGAAGACCCUGAGCAAAUCAGUGCACUAUUUCUGGAUGUCAGGUGAGUUCCAUGACUCACACUCUUCAACCAAAGCCCAUUAAUCAAGUCUGAUGACUCAAUAUUCUUUUGACACAAACAUGCCAAGUGCAAUGUGAUCCCUCACAAACAUUUCUACUUCCCAUAUGCCAGGGUAGUAACCUCUGGGGAAGAGAGGAGAAUUAAACCUUUCUCUAAACAAAGGCAUUAUCCUUUGGUAAAAUCAAAGACAGAAGCUAGGAUCCAAGUGUCUUCUGUGCUGGAGAUGCCAAUCAUUUCCUCCCUGUCUCCAAGCUUUGCCUAGAACCUUGCCUGAAGAUCCUGCCUGCUCACACUACAGCAGCAGAGGCACCAUGGCCCUAGAGACCUAUCUCAAAGGGAGCAGCUGAUCAGUCCGUGAGGACCCUAGCUUUACACAGAGGAAUAGGCAACCACACUCAGCCCAAGGUCACAAAGACCCAGAAGUAAGAGCUAUUGACAUAGGGAACCAGUUUGACCUGCUCUCCAGAGACCCCCUAAAGAAUCCAGAGCAGCAUCAAGUGAUCCCACUGUUCCAGGGACAGAUGAUGACAGAGCAUAUUACUUACAUUCCUGUGAUGAGGACAAAAUACCCAACACGCAGCACUGAAAAGAGGUGAGGUUUAUUUUGGCCCAUGGUUUUAAUCCUUGGAGCCUAACUGGCUCCAAAGCAAAAACAGCAUGGGAGAAGGGCAUGGUGGAGGAAAGCUGCUCAACCCAUGGUGGCAGCCAGGAAGAGUGCACGUGAAUGCGUGCGCGCACACAUACACACCACACACACAGAGAGAGACAGAGAGACAGAGAAUAUGAAAGAGAAACAGAGAGAAACCAGGGAUAAGAAUACAUCAUUCUAGGUCAUGCUCACAGUGACUCACCUCUUCCAACCAGGCCCCACCUCCUAACAGCACAUUCAGCUAUUAACUCAAUUAAUCCACUGAUGAGUAUAGCACCCUCACAUCCAAUCACAUUCUGAAAGAGGCCCCACCUCUGACACAUGAGGCCUUUGGUGGAUAUUUCAAAUCCAAACUGUAACACAGAUGCUUUCCUGUUGUCUGGAUGAGUCUAGCUGUUCUUUCCUCUCUGGUCCUGAAAAAUGCCCCUGGACCCUUAGAUAAAUUACUCUUCACUUUUGUAAGCUUGAGGGGUUUGUAUGUCUUGCAACCAAACACUCUUAAUUAAGAAGCCUACUGUGCACAAUACUAGGUGGUAUCAGGGAGGCAAGAGUGUUUGACAUCAGUAGGUACUUUGUCCUUUUUCUUCCCAUGUCUUCUAUUUCCCCAUACAUACUUGCAUCCGCAUUUAUUUAAUGUCCUCUUUCACUUAUCAGGUCACGUAAGAACUUAAUUAUUGCCCUCUUGUUUUUGACACUGGUGAUCAAACCCAGGGGCUCUCUACCACUGUAUUACAUCCUCAUCCCCUUUAAAAAAAAUUUUUUUGAAGGCAAGGUCUCACAAAGCAGUUCAGGUGGAACUUGAACUUGCAAUCCUUCUGCCUCAGCCUCCCAAGAUGCUGGGAUUAUAGGUAGAUUCUUGUUCACUCGAAGUUGGUAAGACUCUAGAGUUGUUCAAGCUUCAUGUGCCACCCAAGUUGAAGGUGAUGUGAGGGUUCAGAAAGUAGGAAUCCAGAGGAAGAGACACAAUAUUGAAAGUAGAAUCCAGUAACUUGCACAUACUAAGCAAGUACUCUACCACUGAGCUCCCCUCCAGACUCUGAAAGGCCUGCUUCUGCUGAGAAAAUCUUUCAUUCUCAACUCCAGAUGCCAGAGUUAAAGCCUCACAGGUUGACAGAGAUGAUCCCUUGGGUUUCCAGAAUUUGGCAGAACAGCUGACGCACUGAUCCUGUCAAUCUCUACUCUCACAGUGAAUCAUUUACAUCUGAGAAGCCCUUGCCUUGACCUUAUAAAAUCAGUAUGUUUCAAUAAUUCUGAAUCAUCUCAAAAAUGGAAUAAUUAGCUUUUAAAUUAAAAAAUCCAAAUAAACAAGUGGUUAGAGAGCACAUCAAAAGUAUUUAAAUAAUAAGUCCUAGCCAAGAAGAUGUAAUCUAUUAUUGUCUUCCCUUGGAUCAAAGAAUACCUACUACCAGAAUGAAGGACUGUGUCCCAAAAGCAGAUUAAAGUUUUUAUCUUCUGCAGACUGAAAAUUGCUGAUAACUUCUAAAAGACAAGAAACAAAACCACAGCUGUUAAACGUCCUGUUGUUACAUGGUGACCAACAAUGCACAUCUGCACACCACGUACAGUCCUUGCUGGUGUUGCAGUUCAUCUGCCCCUCUUACUGCACCUCCUCUACUCUCUGAGCCUGCUACAGUCCUUCAGUUCACUUAGCAAUCUGUAGGAGUCUUGUCGCAAACACCAAAUACUUAUUAAGAGUGGAGGAACCAUUGCUAUUUAUAUGGUGUGUAGUGGGGGCUUCAAUUAUCAUCCCUCCCCUGUAUCCAUUCUCCCAUUUUGUGAACAAUAACAAAAUCCCCAAUAGUUUUCUGAAUUUCCAUGCCUUCCUUGUAGUUAGAUGUGAACACUGAUGACUUUCUGGCCAAUGGCUUGUGAACAGAUGUGAUGAUGAGUCCACUCACCAAGUUGUGUCUGUGAAACAAAGGGGGGUACCUCUUUGUCCCUUCUCUUUCCAUGGGAAAAGAAGCUUGGAAGGAGGGAGUCCCCUAGGGAAACCAAGCAGCAAAAUCAAGAAAAUCUGGAUUUCUGACUCCUUUACCCAGGGGCAGAAGUUCCCAGAUGUUCGCAUUUCACAGUGCAGAGUCUGUAAUGUAAUUUUUCUCAUUGUUUUUGGGUCAAAGUAAUGCAUAAAAAUUCUGUUUUUUAAGUAGUUGUAUUUAAACAAUUUAAUAUGUAUUUCUACCAUAAUGACUUAGAAGCCAUUUAAAAAUUAAUACAAAUAAAUUAAGAAAAAAAAUACUGAUUUCCAUUUUUAAGUAGCCAUAUCUCUUACAUGUAGGAGUAAGGUGUAUGCACUUGUUGGGCACUGCAUAACUUCUCAAACGUUGGCAUCACAUUGGACAAACAAUGCUGUUAUUUACUUGCAUUUUCUCAGAAGAGCAACC